GCGUUGGCUCAGUGGUUAGAGCUUAGGUCUCGUAACCGAAAGGUCGCGGGAUCGAGUCCCGCUAGAGGCU
rnacentral:tRNA from 1 species